UACGGGGGGAGCAAGCGUUGUUCGGAUUUACUGGGCGUAAAGGGCGCGUAGGCGGUCAGCACAAGUCAGUUGUGAAAUCUCCGGGCUUAACUCGGAAAGGUCAACUGAUACUGUGCGACUAGAGUGCAGAAGGGGCAACUGGAAUUCUCGGUGUAGCGGUGAAAUGCGUAGAUAUCGAGAGGAACACCUGCGGCGAAGGCGGGUUGCUGGGCUGACACUGACGCUGAUGCGCGAAAGCUGGGGGAGCGAACAGG
rnacentral:rRNA from 1 species